UAUUCUGCCCCAUGGGGAAGGAUGAGAAGCUUCGACUAAGGUUCGACUCGAGCGAAGUGAGAGAACGUUGCCGCAGGCAACGGCCCGAAGGGCGAGGCGCUUUAGCGCCGAGUAAUCCUUCCCCCACCACCA
rnacentral:sRNA from 1 species